rnacentral:rRNA from 1 species
UUAUUUGUUUAUAUGAGAAAUAUCUUUUAUUAUUAGUAUAUUAUAGAAAAAUAUUUUUUAUGUUAUAGUUGAUUAGUACUGUGAAGGAAUUAGAUGAAAUAGUAUAUUUAUUUUUUUUAAAAAGUAUAUUUUAUUUAUAGUACCUUUUGUAUCAGGGUUAAUCUAAUAUAAUAAUUUAUAUUUUCAUCUCGAUUUUAAAAGAGCUAAUUUAUUAUUAUAUUUAUUGUGAUAUAACUAUUAUUAAUAUAGAUUAGAGAAGAUAUUUUAUACGAUUUUAAAGGUAUCUAGUUUUUUGAGAAAAAAAUUUAAUUUACUUAUACUAUUUAAAUUGUUUAUUUUUAAACAUUUUAUUUAUUAUAUGCAAAAUUAUAGGGGAUAAGCUCUAUAUUUUACUAUAAAAAAGAUUUUAAUAAAUUAAAGUAGGUUUAAGAUUAUCCAUCUUUAUAGAGUGUGUUAUAAUUUAUAUUUAUUAUUAAUUAAUUUAUUUUAUUUUAGGAAUAUAUUAAAAUGUCAAAAUUAAUAUUAUAUUUUGAGUAACAAUGAUUAAAUUAGUAUAAUUUAUUGUUUAAACUUUUUUUUAUUUUAUAAUAAAAUAAGGAACUCGGCAAAAUUAAUUCUCGCCUGUUUAACAAAAACAUGUCCUUUUGAGUUUAAUUUAAGGUCUAGCCUGCCCAGUGAUAUCAUUUUAACGGCCGCGGUAUAUUGACCGUGCAAAGGUAGCAUAAUCAUUAGUCUUUUAAUAGGAGGCUGGAAUGAAAGGUUUGACGAGGAAUUGACUGUCUCAUUUUAUUUGUAUUAAAAUUUAAUUUUUUGGUCAAAAAGCUAAAAUUUUAUUGGAAGACGAGAAGACCCUAUAGAUCUUUAUAUAGUUGAAUUUAAUCAGCUUUAUAUUAUUAUGAUUAUUGUUAGCUGUAUUUUAUUGGGGUGAUAAAAAUAUAUAAUUAACUUUUUUAUUUAUUUUACAUUGAUUUAUGAAUAUUAGAUCUUUUAUUAUUGAUUGUUAGAUUAAGUUACCUUAGGGAUAACAGCGUAAUCCUCUUCCAGAGUUCAUAUUUACAAGAGGGCUUGCGACCUCGAUGUUGGAUUAAGAUAAUAGUUAGGUGUAGCUGCUUAAUUGAUAGGUCUGUUCGACCUUUAACCUCCUUACA